rnacentral:tRNA from 1 species
CGGGUGUAGUUCAGUGGUAGAAUGUCUGCUUCCCAAGCAGAAGAUCGCCGGUUCGAGUCCGGUCACCC